AAUCGGUGACUACGGUGGUGCCGAGCGCCGCGUGCAGCGAAGUAAAGCAGAAAAUAAACAUUAUAAGCACGUAACAUGUAAAGAGAUAAUUAGGGAUAUUUUCAGAGUAUGUGGCAAUUUACAGCUGGAAGGAUGCUGCACGUCAGUUUAGUAUGAAAUAAUCCGUAAGGAAGUUACCAUCAAAAUAGUCAAACCAAUCAGAGAAGUGGCUCAAUAUCAUCUGAUUCAACCUUUUUGUAUCACUGCUCUGCAGACUGAAAGGAUGUUCUGAGAAAUCUGAAGAAAUUAUUUCACCUCAAGCAUCAAGACAGGAAACAGACAAUGAGGUAGAGCUACAAAAGGCACAAUGAGGAACUUUGCUGAUGGAAGCAUUCCCCAACUUUUAUUCUUCUGUGCAAAUUAGUCUGCUUUGCGUUGGGAAUGGAGCGACACCAUUAUCCGAUGUGUAGGAGGAAGAAGUUUGGAUUGGUGCAUUUGUUCCAGAUGCAAACAGAGGAAAAUUGAAAGAUCACAGCAUCCUGAAUGUUAGCACAGCAAACCAGACCAAUCCUGACACCAGUCCUAUUGGCAACUCCUUUCAGUAGUUUUGGCAGCCAAAUGUGGGGCCAGCCUGGAGCAUGAGGAAAUCCAGCCAGGCAGACAGCUACAGUCCUGUACAUCAGUCCUGGAAACCACAUUCCAGAGCUUGGCAUCUGUGCUCCAAGGCUUGCCAAGCACACCCUAUGAGUGACCACAUGAGUGCUGGCUUCUGCAGCAGAGAAACAGAUGGAAAGCAGGAGGCCUGUGGGGAACACGCUUCGAUUGCCCGUCUCUUUCUUCUAAAAAAAAGAUUCUCCUGAGAAGUCGAAAGUGAGGCUGCACAUAUUUUCUCUAAGGUUCUGUGCCGGUGGAAGUCAGUGGAGAACACGGUUCAACCAACAACUUGGUUUCAGCUUCUGUUCUGAAAAGCUUUAUCAUGAAGGUCUUAUUUUGUGCGAAGAACCUUCUGGGCUGUGGCAAUACAGCUGGAUUUUGGAGCUUCAUUGUACUCAAAAAAUCCUCCUUGCUGGAAGGCCACAUGCCAAACAUUUCUGCCAGUUUUCUUAYGGAAUUUGCACUGGUGCGUGACCUAUUAUUUUUCCUUCCUAUAGUCUUUAUGCUGUAUAUAACAUAAUAAUUACAACCUGCUGGCAUAGAGCUGCUGAAAUACAUUAAUGCAAACUCUGAAUUGUUCUUAGUACAUGUAGURCUGUCACAGUUGUUUUAAACAUUACAUAAUGACAAUAUAAAAUAUUAUCUAUUAUACAUUUUAUAUAAAACACGUAAUAGAUUUUAUUUCUCCUUCAAGCGUGGACCUUCUAAAAAAAAUCUCCUGAACAAUGAUCAGAGUUGUGUAAACCAAGAUUAGACUGAUCCAGUCUGCUUCAAUUUGCAGUUGAGCUUUGCCUUUCAUAGGUGUGUGCCUAAAUCAAGGAACUGUUGUAAUAAUAAUUUAGCAUGGGACAUCACAAAAUCCUGUGCCGCAGGCACUGGGAUAACCCUGCUUGAGGAGGGAUGUAGGACUACAUACCCCACCAUGGUCCCUUCCCACUUGAACCAUUCUGGAAUUCUAGGAUUCCAUGAACUCGACAUUUGCAUCAGUCUUACAGCAUGUAACAAAGCCUACCUGUACUUAUAUUCCAUGAAGAAGAGACAAUUCCUCUUUUAAUUUGGUAAAAAUUAAGUUUUAUUCAGGAUGCAAAACCAAUCAUGGAAUCAUAGAGUUGUUGAGGUUGGAAAAGGCYUCUAAGAUCAAUGGGUUCAUCAAAGAGGAAGAACACAAAAUGAUCAGCACAGAAAACUGUGACUAUUUUUUUGUUCAGGAUUACUUAURUUUAGAUAAUGAUACUGUUUAAUUCAGGGGUUAUCAGAGAACAUGUCACCUCAAUGAAUUUUAGGACAGCUGAAUCCUUGCCUUCUAAAUAUGUUGUUCAAGAGAAGCUGAAUCAGAAAGUAGUGCUUAGAGGAACCUAUAAAAGGACAACUACUUAAAAUCAUCCAGCUAUAAAGUUACUUUAUGUUUAAAUGACUAAAACCACAUUGUCCAAGUUUAAUGCUAGAUGAAGCUUCUCCUGAGUAACUGAGCCCUUUUAUGUGCUACACCUACCGACGCCCCAGGGUAGAGCUUCUAGAAUAAAAUAAAAUAAUUAUUGACUGCACACAUUUUCUUAACCUGGGAAUUACUGUAGCAGCUCUGUGAUUCUUUUUUCAAAGACAAAACAGAAUAUCCAAUAAUAACUGUUGUGUUUUUUAUCUUGUUUAACUUGAAUGACUUUAAAAUAGACACAGRUGUUCAAGCUCUGUGUAAGGAUAGCUUCAACCUCCUGUUUAAUUUACGAUGUAUACACAAAUCUUAUUUCUAUUGCUAGGUUUUGUCAUAAAAUCCGGUUAACUUCUUCUGUAUCUAGAAAAAGAAGAGAGAUAUUGCUUAAUUUAUUUCUUUUUUUUUACUU